rnacentral:rRNA from 1 species
AGUGGCGGACGGGUGAGUAACGCGUAAGAAUCUAACUUCAGGACGGGGACAACAGUGGGAAACGACUGCUAAUACCCGAUGUGCCGCAAGGUGAAACCUAAUUGGCCUGGAGAAGAGCUUGCGUCUGAUUAGCUAGUUGGUGGGGUAAAGGCCUACCAAGGCGACGAUCAGUAGCUGGUCUGAGAGGAUGAGCAGCCACACUGGGACUGAGACACGGCCCAGACUCCUACGGGAGGCAGCAGUGGGGAAUUUUCCGCAAUGGGCGAAAGCCUGACGGAGCAACGCCGCGUGAGGGAGGAAGGUCUUUGGAUUGUAAACCUCUUUUCUCAAGGAAGAAGUUCUGACGGUACUUGAGGAAUCAGCCUCGGCUAACUCCGUGCCAGCAGCCGCGGUAAUACGGGGGAGGCAAGCGUUAUCCGGAAUUAUUGGGCGUAAAGCGUCCGCAGGUGGUCAGCCAAGUCUGCCGUCAAAUCAGGUUGCUUAACGACCUAAAGGCGGUGGAAACUGGCAGACUAGAGAGCAGUAGGGGUAGCAUGAAUUCCCAGUGUAGCGGUGAAAUGCGUAGAGAUUGGGAAGAACAUCGGUGGCGAAAGCGUGCUACUGGGCUGUAUCUGACACUCAGGGACGAAAGCUAGGGGAGCGAAAGGGAUUAGAUACCCCUGUAGUCCUAGCCGUAAACGAUGGAUACUAGGCGUGGCUU